rnacentral:rRNA from 1 species
AUUGAACGCUGGCGGCAGGCUUAACACAUGCAAGUCGAGCGAGCGGCGGACGGGUGAGUAAUGUCUGGGAACCUGCCUGAUGGAGGGGGAUAACUACUGGAACCGGUAGCUAAUACCGCAUACCAUCAGAUGUGCCCAGAUGGGAUUAGCUAGUCGGUGGGCUAAUGGCGCACCUAGGCGACGAUGCAUAGCUGGUCUGAGAGGAUGACCAGCCACACGGGGACUGAGACACGGUCCAGAAUCCUACGGGAGGCAGCAGUGGGGAAUAUGGCACAAUGGGCGAAAGCCUGAUGGAGCCAUGCCGCGUGUGUGAAGAAGGCCUUCGGGUUGUAAAGCACUUUCAGCGAGGAAGCGUUACUCGCAGAGGAAGCACCGGCUAACUCCGUGCCAGCAGCCGCGGUAAUUC